rnacentral:rRNA from 1 species
UACGAAGGGGGCUAGCGUUGCUCGGAAUGACUGGGCGUAAAGGGCGCGUAGGCGGUUUGUACAGUCAGGUGUGAAAUUCCCGGGCUCAACCUGGGGGCUGCACUUGAUACGUAGGAACUGGAGUGGGGAAGAGGGUCGUGGAAUUCCCAGUGUAGAGGUGAAAUUCGUAGAUAUUGGGAAGAACACCGGUGGCGAAGGCGGCGACCUGGUCCUUGACUGACGCUGAGGCGCGAAAGCGUGGGGAGCAAACAGG